GGGGAUUUAGCUCAGUGGUAGAGCGCUUGCCCAUCAAGCGCAAGGCCCUGGGUUCAGUCCCCA
rnacentral:tRNA from 1 species